GAGAUGGAUGGUGCCUUCGGGAACUUACAUACAGGUGCUGCAUGGCUGUCGUCAGGCUCGUGUCGUGAGAUGUGGUUAAGUCCCGCGACGAGCGCAACCCUUUUCCUUAUUUGCCAGCGGGUUAAGCCGGGAACUUUAAGGAUACUGCCAGUGACAAACUGGAGGAAGGCGGGGAGACGUCAAGUCAUCAUGGCCCUUGCGACCAGGGCUACACACGUGCUACAAUGGUCGGUACAAAGGGUUGCUACCUAGCGAUAGGAUGCUAAUCUCAAAAAGCCGAUCGUAGUCCGGAUUGGAGUCUGCAACUCGACUCCAUGAAGUCGGAAUCGCUAGUAAUCGCGGAUCAGAAUGCCGCGGUGAAUACGUUCCCGGGCCUU
rnacentral:rRNA from 1 species